CAGUCGCCGCGGUAAUACGGAGGGUGCAAGCGUUACUCGGAAUUACUGGGCGUAAAGCGUGCGUAGGUGGUGGUUUAAGUCCGUUGUGAAAGCCCUGGGCUCAACCUGGGAAUUGCAGUGGAUACUGGGUCACUAGAGUGUGGUAGAGGAUAGUGGAAUUUCCGGUGUAGCAGUGAAAUGCGUAGAGAUCGGAAGGAACAUCUGUGGCGAAGGCGACUAUCUGGGCCAACACUGACACUGAGGCACGAAAGCGUGGGGAGCAAACAGGAUUAGAUACCCGAGUAGUCCCUGUCUCUUAUAC
rnacentral:rRNA from 1 species